rnacentral:lncRNA from 1 species
GUGGCUGUCUUGAAGUGGCUCAUGUAGUUUCUAAGGGAUUCACCUUCUCUCUAUUUGAUGUUGAUGAGAAAAUCUGAGCCGUGGUGCUAUGUUCAACUAUUGACAAAGCACACUGCAAAGACUUGACUGAGCUACUCGAAAGAGUCGAUUGAGCCUGAUUAAAGGUUGGAGUACUAGUACCUCGCUGUUGGCCAUGUGCCAGUGCACACUCGAUGGGAUCAG